GAGAUUCUAGUAAAACUAUUACUUUACCUUGUCAAGAUAACAUUGGGGGUGAAAAUCCCCCGAAUCUUU
rnacentral:tRNA from 1 species